rnacentral:misc_RNA from 1 species
GCAACCAAUAACUUUGAUGAGAAAAAUAAGCUGGGGGAGGGAGGAUUUAGUGCAGUUUAUAAGGGGUUUUUGAUGUUUAAUUAUAUUGCUGUUAAGAAAUUCAAAAGGGUGUCCAUCCAUGGGUUAAAGUACUAUGCAUCAGAAGUUAUGAUCACUGGCAAGCUGAAGCAUGAAAACUUGAUUAAACUGAUAGGUUGGUGCUAUG